rnacentral:misc_RNA from 1 species
ACGAGUUUUGUACUAAUUCAGUACAAUCUUCAUCCAUAACACCUGUGAACUUUACAUAAACUUUUGCUUUGGCUGGACGUAAAAAACCUAGCCAAAGGAUUUAAACAAAACCUUUUAUUUAAUAACCUAUUGUCUGAAUUGUAAUAAUUUUAAUUAUUCA